AAGCUAUAUGGAUUCGUUCAUGGAACCCUUGAACUGAAAGGCUUUGAACAAACGGUACGGUACACGUUCGAGCUAUUUUACUGCGCUGCUCUUACUCUCUGUGUCUGUCUCGAAACAUGGGUGCGGAGAACAGAUCGAGCGGCGACAACGCCGGCAAGAGCAAGAAGAGAAGGCAGCGCUAUCUUCCCCACAACAAGCCAGUAAAGAAGAAGGGGGCGUACCCAUUACGCCCGGGAGUACAAGGGUUCUUCAUCACGUGCGAUGGAGGCCGGGAAAGCCAGGCAUCCCGUGAAGCCAUUAACGUUAUUGAUUCUUUUUAUGAAGAGCUACUCCACGGGAAAGAUUCAGAUGUGAAGCUUGCGGAGCUACCAAAUAAACCUCUAAAUAAGAAGAUUAAGUUCUCAGAUUCUGAAUCUUCUAGUAGCGAUGAUGAUGAAGAGGAGGAGGAGGAGGAGGAGGGGAAGGAGGAGGAGGACAAGAAUAAAUCAGAUAGUUGUCAGGAUGAUAUUGGCAGUCAUAAGGUCGCAACAAAUCAGGCUCCAGAUCCUCAUGCUAAAGAUGAUGUGCACCAUGGAAAUCUGACAGAAGAAAAACCUAAUGAUAUUGAAGGGAAUGGUAAGAAUCAUGAGAAUCAACCAAGAGAAACUGAGGAGCCACCAGCAAAGGAGAAUCAACCAAGAGAAACUAAGGAGCCACCAGCAAAGGAGAAUCAACCAAGAGAAACUGAGGAGCCACCAGCAAAGAAACAAUGUCUAGGAACAGGAGCAUUGAAAUGUGUGAUCCAUGAAAAAGUGGAGGAGAAGUCUAUUGAUAAACUAAUUGAGGCUGAACUCGAAGAAUUGGGAGAUAAGAGCAAGAGGCGCUUUUUCAAGCUUGAUUCGGGUUGUAAUGGUGUUGUCUUUAUUCAAAUGCGGAAGAGAGAUGGAGACCCUGGACCCACAAAUAUCGUGCAGCACAUGAUGACAUCUGCUGCAUCAACAAGAAAACAUAUGUCAAGGUUCAUCUUAAGAAUGUUACCUAUUGAAGUGGCAUGCUAUACUUCAGAGGAGGAAAUUUCAAGAGCAAUCAAACCUCUUGUGGAACAACAUUUUCCAGUGGAUACUCAAAACCCACAAAAGUUUGCAGUAAUGUUUGGAGCCCGUGCAAAUAGUGGCAUUGACAGGAUGAAGAUCAUAAAUGCAGUUGCAAAAUCUGUUCCUGGACCGCAUAAAGUUGAUCUUAACAAUCCUGAUAAAACCAUUAUAGUUGAAGUUGUCAAGUUAUGCUUGUAGAAGCUAUUAUACUAUUGUACCUCCUGGGCAUGAGGAUAAACUGCUUAGCCCGUCAAGGGUGAAAGCUCCUGGAUUACCUGGUAACUGGUUCUGGCAGGUGAGGUCAGUUACCCGUAGGAGUUUGAUUAACGACUGUGUGCUUGAUUGGAGUGGUCGACAAGUACAAGGAAUUUGCCAAGUACAACCUGAGGCAGCUUACAUCACCCAAGCCCUAGCAGCCAUGUCAAGUUUUGAUUUGUAAUGGGAGUUGUUGGCAUUUGAUAUGCUGCGUUAACAUAGUGUUUUG